UACGUAGGGUGCAAGCGUUAAUCGGAAUUACUGGGCGUAAAGCGUGCGCAGGCGGUUUUGUAAGUCUGACGUGAAAGCCCCGGGCUUAACCUGGGAAUGGCGAUGGUGACUGCAAGGCUAGAGUUUGGCAGAGGGGGGUAGAAUUCCACGUGUAGCAGUGAAAUGCGUAGAGAUGUGGAGGAACACCGAUGGCGAAGGCAGCCCCCUGGGUCAAGACUGACGCUCAUGCACGAAAGCGUGGGGAGCAAACAGG
rnacentral:rRNA from 1 species